CAGUCGAACGGCAGCGCGGGGCAACCUGGCGGCGAGUGGCGAACGGGUGAGUAAUAUAUCGGAACGUACCCAAGAGUGGGGGAUAACGUAGCGAAAGUUACGCUAAUACCGCAUACGAUCUAUGGAUGAAAGUGGGGGAUCGCAAGACCUCAUGCUCCUGGAGCGGCCGAUAUCUGAUUAGCUAGUUGGUGAGGUAAAGGCUCACCAAGGCGACGAUCAGUAGCUGGUCUGAGAGGACGACCAGCCACACUGGAACUGAGACACGGUCCAGACUCCUACGGGAGGCAGCAGUGGGGAAUUUUGGACAAUGGGCGCAAGCCUGAUCCAGCAAUGCCGCGUGAGUGAAGAAGGCCUUCGGGUUGUAAAGCUCUUUUGUCAGGGAAGAAACGGUUGUGGCUAAUAUCCACGGCUAAUGACGGUACCUGAAGAAUAAGCACCGGCUAACUACGUGCCAGCAGCCGCGGUAAUACGUAGGGUGCAAGCGUUAAUCGGAAUUACUGGGCGUAAAGCGUGCGCAGGCGGUUUUGUAAGUCUGUCGUGAAAUCCCCGGGCUCAACCUGGGAAUUGCGAUGGAGACUGCAAGGCUAGAAUCUGGCAGAGGGGGGUAGAAUUCCACGUGUAGCAGUGAAAUGCGUAGAGAUGUGGAGGAACACCGAUGGCGAAGGCAGCCCCCUGGGUCAAGAUUGACGCUCAUGCACGAAAGCGUGGGGAGCAAACAGGAUUAGAUACCCUGGUAGUCCACGCCCUAAACGAUGUCUACUAGUUGUCGGGUUUUUAAUUAACUUGGUAACGCAGCUAACGCGUGAAGUAGACCGCCUGGGGAGUACGGUCGCAAGAUUAAAACUCAAAGGAAUUGACGGGGACCCGCACAGGCGGUGGAUGAUGUGG
rnacentral:rRNA from 1 species